AGCGAACGCUGGCGGCAGGCCUAACACAUGCAAGUCGAACGAACCCUUCGGGGUUAGUGGCGGACGGGUGAGUAACACGUGGGAACGUGCCUUUAGGUUCGGAAUAACUCAGGGAAACUUGUGCUAAUACCGAAUGUGCCCUUCGGGGGAAAGAUUUAUCGCCUUUAGAGCGGCCCGCGUCUGAUUAGCUAGUUGGUGAGGUAAUGGCUCACCAAGGCUACGAUCAGUAGCUGGUCUGAGAGGAUGACCAGCCACAUUGGGACUGAGACACGGCCCAAACUCCUACGGGAGGCAGCAGUGGGGAAUGUCGCGCAAUGGGCGAAAGCCUGACGCAGCCAUGCCGCGUGGAUGAUGAAGGUCUUAGGAUUGUAAAAUCCUUUCACCGGUGAAGAUAAUGACUGUAGCCGGAGAAGAAGCCCCGGCUAACUUCGUGCCAGCCGCCGCCGUAAUAC
rnacentral:rRNA from 1 species